CAGACACUCUGUGAUAUGCCAUUUGAGCAGAAGAGUCACAUGGUCAGUGGCUUUCCCUGAGUAUGUAGGCCUACACAUUCCUCUCCUCAGAGUAAUAUCAGCAAAAACAACACUCAGCCUUUUAAUUAGUGGUGUUUUUAACGAUGCACAUUCCCUGUGGCACAGUUAAGAAGCAUGUUAAUGUCAGUGUGGCUGAUGGAGACAGCAUCUCUUUUCUAUGCCCUCCCGCUAGCUAAUGAGACAGACAGCCUAUUACCGCGGGACACUAAGACCAGGCCACACUAUUACAACCAUCCAUGGCUGUAAUUUAGCACACCCGACAGUGCUUGACCAUACCUGACCAUACUCAACAAUCUCUGAUAAUACCAGUUACAGCUUUUAAAAAUGUCAACAACAAAAAAAACCCAAGACUUGUACUUAAACACAGCUGCGAUAUUUUUCGCUAAUUCAAACACAUUCUGCGAGAGUAUGAUUGAAGUUUGACUGCAGCUGCGCCUCUCCACAUCCCGGCGUCGCUAUGCGCUGUAAUGAAUUUCACCGCUGUUGUUGCUAAGUGUGCAAAGAGUGAUGACGUUCUUGUCACUUCUAUCUGGAACUUCGGGCCCAUUGUGUUUUCGUAACAACUCAUCAGCUGAUAUUUGCGCGCUGCGCCUCGUUUAAAGGUGUCGCGGAAAUCUUAUUAAGAGCGCAGUGGAGCGGUCAUGGCCGAAAGCGAUGUCGGAGUGCAGAGAGACGGCUGAUUUGAUUUGAAACGAACUGAUUGAAGAUGAACUGAAAUUCAGCGGAGGAAUCACACUUGGGCAUCCUCCAUCCUGGCAGUCAGAAACGAAACGGUGAACUUCACUUGUUAAUAGACGAGCACGCUAUAGAGAGACAUGCACAGAUGUGCUGCUGUGUACUUAAAACGAGUGUGUUUACAAGAUGUCUGCAUUGUGUCACAGUCAGCGAAAAACCCAUAUGACAUUUAGAAAUGCUUUCUGCUUCCCACAGUUAGUGUAGUUCAUAUUGAUAUUAAUAUUCAUAGUCAUCAUGCAUAUUAAUACUGUUUUUUUUAAAACUGUUUAUAUUCCUGUUAAUAUACGUGAAUGAGAGUGGUUCAUAUAGUUCAGAUUAAUAUUUAUAUGAGGUUAUGGUUGUACUUUGUAUUGUGUAUACAUUAAUGGGAGAGGUUUAUAUAGGUUAUAUUCAUAUUCAUAUCCCUGUUCAGUAAUUAACCUUAGUUUUGGCCUUGAUUAUGGCAAGUGCAGUUGUAUUAUUUUCACAGUUAAGCUCAUCAUGCUGUCAUAAUAUAUGAGUAUAAUCUAAAAGCAGUAAAUAAAUCAAUUAUACUAUCUCUAA